rnacentral:rRNA from 1 species
AGCUCCAAUAGCGUAUAUUAAAGUUGUUGCAGUUAAAAAGCUCGUAGUUGGAUCUCGGUUUCGGGCUGGUGGUCCAUCCCCCGAUGGUUACUGCCUGCGUCCCGAACCAAAUCCCGGCUCGUCAGCGGUGCUUUUUAUCGAGUGUCGUUUGGUGGCCGGAACUUUUACCUUGAUAAAAUCUGAGUGUUCAAAGCAGGCGUCUUAGCCUGAAAGUUUGUGCAUGGUAUAAUAGAAUAGGACUCUGGUUCUAUUUUGUUGGUUUUAGGAACUUUGAGUAAUGAUUAAGAGGGACGGACGAGGGCAUUCGUAUUACGGUGUUAGAGGUGAAAUUCUUGGAUCGCCGUAAGACGAACAACCGCGAAAGCAUUUGCCAAGAAUGUUUCCA